UACGUAGGGGGCAAGCGUUGUCCGGAUUUAUUGGGCGUAAAGAGCGUGUAGGCGGCCAUGCAGGUCAGCUGUGAAAACUCGAGGCUCAACCUCGAGACGUCGGUUGAAACCAUCCGGCUAGAGUCCGGAAGAGGAGUGUGGAAUUCCCGGUGUAGCGGUGAAAUGCGCAGAUAUCGGGAAGAACACCCGUGGCGAAGGCGGCACUCUGGGACGGUACUGACACUGAGACGCGAAAGCGUGGGGAGCAAACAGG
rnacentral:rRNA from 1 species